rnacentral:rRNA from 1 species
UACGAAGGUCCCAAGCGUUAUCCGGAUUUAUUGGGUUUAAAGGGUGCGUAGGCGGCUUAUUAAGUCAGUGGUGAAAGCUCCAUGCUUAACGUGGAAAUUGCCAUUGAUACUGAUGAGCUUGAGUAUAUUUGAAGUGGGCGGAAUGUGUCGUGUAGCGGUGAAAUGCUUAGAUAUGACACAGAACACCAAUUGCGAAGGCAGCUUACUAAAGUAUGAUUGACGCUGAGGCACGAAAGCGUGGGGAUCAAACAGG